UUGAUGUAAGUGGUAGAGGAGCAUCGUAUGCGGGCUGAAGUCGUACCGUAAGGAGCGAUGGACUGCAUAGGAGAGAGAAUGCUGGCAUGAGUAACGAGAGGGUGGUGAGAAUCCACCCCAUCGAAAGCCUAAGGUUUCCUGGGGAAGGUUCGUCCGCCCAGGGUAAGUCGGGGCCUAAGCCGAGGACUAGAUGGUCGUAGGCGAUGGACAACAGGUUGAUAUUCCUGUACUACCCGAAGCGUCUGAGAGAAGCAGUGACACAGAAGGAUAGGUCAAGCGGGUUGAUGGUAGAACCCGUCCAAGCAUUGAGGCUGUGUGGAUGGUAAAGUACGUCCGCAUAAAGCUGGGGUGUGAUGGGGACAGAACAUAAGUAUGGAAGUGACUAUUCACGCUGGCGAGAAAAGCUGCUAUCGAGCAGAAGGGUACCCGUACCGCAAACCGACACAGGUAGGCGAGGAGAGAAUCCUAAGAUGAGUGAGAUACCCCUGUUAAGGAACUCGGCAAAAUGACUCCGUAACUUCGGGAGAAGGAGUGCCACGAAAGUGGUUGCAGUGAAUAGGCCCAUGCAACUGUUUAUCAAAAACACAGGUCUGUGCAAAAUCGAGAGAUGAUGUAUACGGGCUGACGCCUGCCCAGUGCUGGAAGGUUAAGGGGAACUGUUAGCGCAAGCGAAGCAGUGAACCGAAGCCCCAGUGAACGGCGGCCGUAACGAUAACGGUCCUAAGGUAGCGAAAUUCCUUGUCGGGUAAGUUCCGACCCGCACGAAAGGCGUAAUGAUAUGGGCGCUGUCUCAACAAGGGACUCGGUGGAAUUGUAGGGCUGGUAAAGAUGCCAGCGACCCGCGACUAGACGGAAAGACCCCGUAGAGCUUUACUGUAGCUUGGUAUUGAGUUUUGACAUUGGAUGUACAGGAUAGGUGGGAGACUGAGAGAUGAUGGCGUCAGCUGUCAAGGAGUCGCCGGUGGGAUACCACUCUUCCGAUGUUGGAAUUCUAACAACGACCCGUGAACCGGGCGUUGGACAGUGCCAGGUGGGCAGUUUGACUGGGGCGGUCACCUCCGAAAGAGUAACGGAGGUGCCCAAAGGUCUCCUCAGCAUGGUUGGAAAUCAUGUCUUAGAGUGUAAAGGCAUAAGGAGGCCUGACUGCGAGACUGACAAGUCGAGCAGAGACGAAAGUCGGGCUUAGUGAUCCCGUGGUUUCGAGUGGAAGAGCCAUCGCUAAACGGAUAAAAGUUACCUCGGGGAUAACAGGCUAAUCUCCCCCAAGAGUCCACAUCGACGGGGAGGUUUGGCACCUCGAUGUCGGCUCAUCGCAUCCUGGGGCUGAAGUAGGUCCCAAGGGUAUGGCUGUUCGCCAUUUAAAGCGGUACGCGAGCUGGGUUCAGAACGUCGUGAGACAGUUCGGUCCCUAUCUAUCGUGGGCGUUAGAAGUUUGAGAGGAGCUGUCCCUAGUACGAGAGGACCGGGAUGGACAUACCGCUGGUGUACCAGUUGUUCUGCCAAGGGCAUUGCUGGGUAGCUAUGUAUGGAAGAGAUAAACGCUGAAAGCAUCUAAGCGUGAAGCCCCCCUCAAGAUGAGACUUCUCAUUCU
rnacentral:rRNA from 1 species